GAUGAAGAACGCAGCGAAAUGCGAUAAGUAAUGUGAAUUGCAGAAUUCAGUAAAUCAUCGAAUCUUUGAACGCACAUUGCGCCCGCCAGUAUUCUGGCGGGCAUGCCUGUUCGAGCGUCAUUUCAACCAUCAAGCCCCCGGCUUGUGUUGGGGACCUGCGGCUGCCGCAGGCCCUGAAAAGCAGUGGCGGGCUCGCUGUCACACCGAGCGUAGUAGCAUACAUCUCGCUCUGGGCGUGCUGCGGGUUCCGGCCGUUAAACCACCUUCAUAACCCAAGGUUGACCUCGGAUCAGGUAGGAAGACCCGCUGAACUUAAGCAUAUCAAUAAGCGGAGGA
rnacentral:misc_RNA from 1 species